GGAAUAUUUAGAGAUCAAAAUUGAUAUCCCAGUUCCAGCACAGCGAACGAAUAGUUGGCUAUUGAGGUCCAGCCCUAGUAUGAGAGUCCACAUUU